UACGAAGGGGGCUAGCGUUGUUCGGAAUCACUGGGCGUAAAGGGCGCGUAGGCGGCUUUAUAAGUCGGGGGUGAAAGCCUGUGGCUCAACCACAGAAUUGCCUUCAAUACUGUAGAGCUUGAGACCGGAAGAGGUAAGUGGAACUGCGAGUGUAGAGGUGAAAUUCGUAGAUAUUCGCAAGAACACCAGUGGCGAAGGCGGCUUACUGGUCCGGUUCUGACGCUGAGGCGCGAAAGCGUGGGGAGCAAACAGG
rnacentral:rRNA from 1 species